GGUACCUGAUGGAAGGAGGCUGGCAGUUCAGUAGUGAGCUGGCAGCUGUGGUCUGCGGGUGGUAGGACAAGGCUGAAACAGGUUACCUGCCCUGUGGAGGUAGCUGUGAACUGGAAGCUUCCCAGCAUCAUCCUCAGCAGUGACAGGAACUCUUUGUCCUCAUAGUCAAAGCGGUCCCCGAAAACGAUGGAGCUAAUGACGUUGGAGACUGUUCUGCUCAGGUAGAAGGUGGGGUCAAUGAGAGCACCUGCGGAUGGGGAGGGAGAAGAAGAGGGAGACAUUGGGACUAGGAAAAAAGCCUCGCGGGGUGAUAGCAUCAGAUACUUUGAAUCAGAGAAUUCAAAAUGAGCACCGGCUGCAGUAGGGAGUCUGCCAAAACCGGGACACCAGGACCCACAGCGGAGACCAGGGCGCUCUUCCCUGGCUCAGUUCCCAUCCUGGAUCAUAGUGCUGCUUUUCCUAUAGUAUCUUGCCCUUGGUCGGUCCUGAGAACUUGCGGGGCUCUGCUUACCGUUUGUCUUCCGGAAUGACUCCAGGAGAAAGCCCGCCUCCUCUUGGAUGCGCUCCUCGAUGCCACGCUUGCCUACGCCGAAGUCCCGCAGCGUGGCGAUGGAAAAGCGCCGCAGCUGCUUGGCCCGCUCUCCGCUGCUGAAGGCUACUCCUGGGAAGGUGGGAAGACCUACUUCAUCUGGGUCUUUGAUGUGGGAAACCCACUUUUAAUCGGCUGGCAGCCUAUAUAAAGGACAUGGGAGAAGAAAGCUGGCUCUCUUUGCCUGUUUGUUCUCAUCUUCGCUGGCAAGUCCAUUCUUCACUGGCGUCAGAGCAGACUUCUUCAGGAUUCUUGCAGAUACUGAAGACCAGCUGAAACAUCCAGCCUCAUGGACUGAACAACUACUGGAUUCUUGAACAUUUCAUUGGUAGACCAACAUUGUUGACUAGUUGAACCACAGCCUCUGCAAGAUGGGUUUGACAUGGCAGGAAUGAAGGUUUCAGAAGACAGAAAGAAUGGUGUAAGGGAAAAGUACCUGGUGCAUCUUGAUGAGAAAGCAGUCGAUGUAGUCCCUAGGGUUUGAGGGGUCAAAGGAUUCUUCAUUGAUCUUGACCCUGGAUGCAAUGAAGUCCUUAAGCUCUUCUAGCAAGUCAUAGAGGUGGUUGUGACUUCCUGGAAAAUACUGCAUGAUUCCCCAGAACAUGUCAUAUAACUGUGGGGUAGAGGCAAAGGGAUGUGUGUCAGUCAUGGCCAUCAGGGACCAGAUGGGCCGAGCUCUAGAGUCAGAGAGUCUGUGGCAGGAGCUAGGGCAGAGCAGAGCACAUUUUUAAUCCUAUCACCAGGGCCAUUGAGGAGGAAGAUCAGUGGUUUAAGGCCAACCAAAGCUACCCAGAGACACCCUAUUUCACUAACUAGUCUACUGUUGGGUCUGAGAUUUGGGUGUAACCCUUUGUUUCCUGCAUACUUGGACAAAUUCAUAAGUGCCUCCUAGGGACGAAGGGAGGAGGAUUAGGUGGCAUACAGGAAAGUGCUUGCUUGAGAAUGAAGGAUGAGCAUGGGGUGGACCAAUUAAGUACCUGUGCCCAGGGCUUGCUCAUCUCCACAAAGCUCUCAUUGAUCGUCUUCAUCAGGCUCUGGAAAUAUUUGUCUUCAUAGUCGAAGCGUCUCCCAAAGACCACAGAACAGAUGACAUUGGACACAGUGCGGCUCAGGUAGAAGGUGGGGUCUAUGGGAGCUCCUGGAGGUAGAAACUGACUAUGUUGGAGACAGUCAUGGGUGAGGUAGGGCAAGAAAUCACUCAGUGUUUGCACAGAGCCCUGGGUCCAUUGCUUAGAGGUAUGCACGAACACCUCAUUUUCAUAUCUUAGUCUAGUAUUCCCAAACUGCAACCUGGGAAUCUCCUAAUUGAUCUGUGAGUGUUCAAUGUGACAAUGCAUGUAAAAUGACUGGCAGGGCACCUGGCCUGGAAUAAGCACCCAAGAAAUGUGAGAGAAGUUCAGCCUGAUCUUUUGUCGCUGUUACCUCAAUGUAUUUGUGAUGGAUGGAAAGUAGUAGAGGACACAUCUGAAAAAAGA